CCCGAAUUUAAAAGAGCUAUAUUUAUAAGAAUUUAUUGUUGAAUAAAUAUUUUAAAUAUAAUUAUAGAAAUGAAAUGUUAUUCGUUUUUAAAUUUAUCUGGUUUUUUAAGAAAUGAAUUUAAUUCUUUUGUUAAUUAAAUAAAGUUUCUAUUUUUGAAUUUUUAUUAUUAACAAGAAAUUUUUUAGGGGAUUAGCUUUAACAAAAAUUGGUUAUUAAUUUUUAAAAAAAUUGUUUUUAAUUAGGAAAUAAAAUUUUUCUUUUUUGUUGUAUUUUAUAAUUAAAAUUAUGUUGUUUAUAAUUUUUAUUUUUUAUAAUUUUUUUAUUAAAAUUUAUACUUUAAUAUUAAUUGUAUAUUAAUUAUGUUAAAAUUAGUAGAAUUUUUAGUAUAUUUAUUAAUAAAAUAAAGAUUAAUUUGAGGAAUUCGGCAAGAGUUUAUUCACCUGUUUAAUAAAAACAUGUCUUAUUGUUAAAUAAUUUUAAGUCUAACCUGCCCAUUGAUUAAGGUUUAACGGCUGCAGUAAUUUGACUGUACUAAGGUAGCAUAAUCAUUAGUUUUUUAAUUGGAAACUGGUAUGAAGGGUUGAAUGAGAUAAAAUCUGUCUUUAUUUAAAAUUUUGAAUUUUAUUUUUAAGUUAAAAAGCUUAAAUUUAAUUAAAAGACGAGAAGACCCUUUAGAGUUUUAUAUUGUUAUAUAAUGAUUUUUUUGGUAUAUAUUUAAUUUAUGUUAGUAUAUUUGAUUGGGGUGAUUAUUAAAUUAGAUAAACUUUAAUAUUUUUUUACAAUAAUAAUUGGUUUAUUUGAUCCAUUUUUAGUGAUUAUUAGAAUAAAUUACCUAAGGGAUAACAGCGUAAUUUUUUUGAAGAGUUCAAAUCGAUAAAAGGGAUUGCGACCUCGAUGUUGGAUUAAAGUUAAUAAUUAAGUGCAGAAGUUAAUUAAUUUGGUCUGUUCGACCAUUAAAACUUUACAUGAUCUGAGUUUAAACCGGUGUGAGCCAGGUUGGUUUCUAUCUUUAAUUGAAAAAUUUAUUUUAGUACGAAAGGACCAAAU
rnacentral:rRNA from 1 species